AAGGAAUUCUUUAACAGCAUUCUCCAAAAACGCCUUGAAACUUGGAUAUCCGUUUAAGUUUCAAGGCGUUUUUGUUGUAUAA
rnacentral:sRNA from 1 species